rnacentral:rRNA from 1 species
AUUGAACGCUGGCGGCAUGCUUUACACAUGCAAGUCGAACGGUAACAGGCCGCAAGGUGCUGACGAGUGGCGAACGGGUGAGUAAUGCAUCGGAACGUGCCCAGUCGUGGGGGAUAACGCAGCGAAAGCUGCGCUAAUACCGCAUACGAUCUAUGGAUGGAAGCGGGGGACCGUAAGGCCUCGCGCGAUUGGAGCGGCCGAUGUCAGAGUAGGUAGUUGGUGGGGUAAAGGCUCACCAAGCCAACGAUCUGUAGCUGGUCUGAGAGGACGACCGGCCACACUGGGACUGAGACACGGACCAGACUCCUACGGGAGGCAGCAGUGGGGAAUUUUGGACAAUGGGCGCAAGCCUGAUCCAGCAAUGCCGCGUGCAGGAAGAAGGCCUUCGGGUUGUAAACUGCUUUUGUACGGAACGAAACGGUCCGGGUUAAUACCCUGGGUUAAUGACGGUACCGUAAGAAUAAGCACCGGCUAACUACGUGCCAGCCGCCGCAGUAACAC